rnacentral:misc_RNA from 1 species
UUUAAUCCUUCUGACGCAAGCCUCUCCACCCGCUCGUGAAAGGGCAUCCGGGCUCUCUAGUUGAUGAUGCUCCUGAGGCAAAACCUCAGGGGUUGAGGCGCUAACCCCUUGUGGGUAAUGAGCGCCCUGCACAGUUAGCGACGCCAAAGGCUGGCGCUA